GGAUCAACUUGGGAUCAUGUUAACUGGGGAUGCGCGUGCACGCAAGUAUGGAUUUCCGGCAGAUGUUCGACAGCGACUGAUUCGUCAUAUGCGAUAUUCCACAGAUAGUCUUAAAAACUUUCUUCCGAACUACGAGGCGCCGAACUGCACAAAAGCGAAGCGCACACCGCCAGAGAGCGCGACAGUGCGCGAGAGACGCCUAAACACGUGGCGUACUACAGAAAAGACUGACAUUUUAAGUGUUUUGGGACAUUUCAUGUGAAAAAAAAAAAAAUUUCACAGACGGAUGAAGAAAGUAAGCCAUCAAGAAAUGUUAACAUGGAUCAUUGUCAUGUUAUCUAUAAGGAUGCAGGAGCACUUGAGACUCUCUCAGGUAGUUGAGAGCGUGAAUAAUCCAAUAUAUGAAAUGGAUGCGGUUAUUAUGGGUAUAUCCUUACCCAGGUAUGAUCUGACCAGCCGAGAAACACAGGAAUGUCAUGGACAGAUGCUUCUACCUGUUUGGGUGUCGAACAGUACAUAGACCACAUCUUCAUGACCUUGAUGCACUGAUUCAUGCAAUUAUCAGUCAAACGCCUAAAGCCAGAGUUACACUUGUCCUGGGCAAGCAUAGGGCAGCAAAUCAAUAUUUUAUAUGUUUAAUAUAUUUCAUCAGAUGUCAUUUUGAUGUCAAGUGUGCUUAUGCUGAUGAUGCUGACAUUGUUCUAUUGUAUUGUACUGGCACAAAAAAAAAAAAAAAAAAAAAUCUGUUUAACUCAUAUCUGACACAGAUCAGAAUUUGUUGCACAUGAAUAAACACAAAAAU